rnacentral:lncRNA from 1 species
GCUGCAGGGGAUUCCCCCCCCCCCCGGCUUGAAGUGGACGCCUGGGCUUCUGAUCCGUUGAUUUCGGCGUAGUGCAAGUAUGGUGCGUUUCCCGAUACCUGCGCGAUCGCCCGUGUUGGCUUACAGUAGCCACACCUGGGCACGUCUGCAUAUCUAGCGGUCGGCCCAGAUCCGGUCCCAGUCGGUUUUACUUUUGCUGGACCCGUAUACUUAUUUGGACAAGAACCGGUGGAAAGCCGAUGCUCUCUCUCCUAGUUUGAGCAUGGUAAGCACUACCGAGCUGAUGCCAUCCUAUUUGAGACUGGAGAAGCGGCAGUGGUCUGUCUUCGGAUGUUGGAGCAUUGCCCUGUGGGUCCAAGCUGGCUUUGGACGGGAGGACUGGAGAGAGGAGUCUGUUCUGCAGCAAGCCCAGCGGUUGAUCGCGGACUAAUGGUUGGGCCAUUGUCUCCUGUUGCACCUGAGUGGCCGGUGAUAUGCUAUGGAAGUUCCAGUUACCCCUUGCAAGGGCAUUGACUAUGCAAUGGGUGGGUCUGUGAUUCAGUGGCCUGGGAGUUCCACAGGGGGGAUUCCCCUUGGACUAUUCUGGGGUCUUCUGGGGCUGCUGUAUAGUUCGCUUCAACUCGCUGUGGUUGGGAUAGAGCUACGGGACAUUGAGACCGUAUUUCUGGAUUUAGCUUGAUGGGCAUUGGGUACUUACCUCCUAGUACACAUCAUUUACUGACCUGGAGUCAUGUUGCUUCCUAGGGAUGCUGGUUCACCCUCUUCAUUUAUUUAUAUAAUAUUUUACCAGGAAGAAUACAUUGAGAUUUCUCCCAUUUUCAAGUAUGUCCUGGCUGGGUCUGAUUAUUUUUGAAGGCAUCUAAUUUUAAUAUUUUUGUAUUUUUUGUUUUCCUAUGGAGCUAUACUACAACAUCAAUAUUCGCUAAGUGUUUUAGCCUUGUACUGUUUUACAAAUGCAAUGGACAAUAUGGAGAUACCAGAUGAAUCUAUUAGACUUCUGCUACUUUGAAUAAACCUUGAAUGACAAGAAGUAUAUAUACAUCAAUGUCUCAAGAAAAACUGAAAUGCAAUUACCUUUUUUUAAAAGUAACAAUUAAAAUAUUACUUAAAAUGAUACAAAACUUCACGUGAAAAAAAAAAUCACCUAAAUUAUGGGUUCCGAUAGAACUCACGCAUACAUAAAAUAAGCUCCCCUGGCUAAUCUGGUCAGAUAGAGCAGUGGGCAAACAUUUUGAUAAUUCGACAUCCAUUGACAGGACCAACAUUGGACGUGUGGAAUGCAAUCAGACACAAGAGUCCGCUGACUCCUAACCCUUUGCUAUCAAUAUCACACAACCCGGGACUAGCAGGUGGGGUUCGCCCAUCUGAGCUUCAUGGGUUUAACUUAGGUGAAUGGAUAUAUCAGGAAAACGCGGAAUGGACAUUUGUUUUAUUUCCCUUAUGUAACCCUAUUUCCAUUUACUAUGUAACUGUUCCAUAUGUGAUUCAAUGCAGAUAAAACCAAAUAAAGAUUGUAAAAAAAACAAAAAACACAAAUACAAAAGUUGAGCCAUAAUAUCACCC